UACAUGAAAUACUAUCGGUCAUAGACUAAGCCAUGCAAAUCCGAGUACAACUCGUAGAGUGAAACUAUCAAUAGCUCCAUAAUGCAUAUGUGAUGGACUGAAGCACUACGUUCAGUGGGUGAAGGACAGCUGCGGUAAUCCCGGAGCUAAUCCACUUGUGACGUGCAUCUGGCACCUUAGAUGCAUUUUGCCCUUGUUAAAGGCAAGCUCAUCCAGCGUAUGUCCUAUCAGGUAGUUAGUAGUGUAAGGUCCUACUAAGCCAAUGACGGGUAACGGGCGGUAUAUGUCGAACUGCCGGAGAAGGCGCCUUAGAGAUUGCGACUAUGUCUACGGACAGCAGCAGGCGCGCAACUUACACUCUCGAGACACUCGGACGUGGUAAUGACCAGUACUCCCGCCAGCCUUUGCUGUGGAGAUAGAUACUUGACCAGCGAUCUUGUAUCAACCAAGUCGAGGGCCAGUCUGGUGCCAGCAGCUGCGGUAAUACCAGCUCGACUAGUGCUUUGUCUUGAUGCAGUUACACACUCGAAGCCACGGUUGAAUUCGUGAAGGGGCAACCCAUCACUGUGAGUAAACCAAUAUGCUUAGGAUUAUCUCCAACCAGGAUGUUCUUCGCAUGAUGAUGAUUGUAGAAAGUGCAAAGCUUUCUGACAUCAUAGACCAUAUUAGACGUGAUCAAUAUAGCAGGGCGAGCGGUGAAAUGUGUUGACCCUUGUUAGAUUCCCAAUGGCGAAAGCAGGUCACGAUGGUAUCGGUGUCGGUCUAGAGUGGUGCUUAUGAGAGAGAACCGGAUUAGAGACCCGGGUAUCCAUAUAGCGUAAAAGAGAACUCCUCAGGCCUUCCCCCGGGAGGGUCUAAGUGAGAAAUCGUAUGUUUUUGGUUUCCGGGGGAACUACGACUGCAAGGUUGAAACUUAAAGGAAUUGACGGAAGCGCACACAAGGAGUGGAGCCUGUGGCUCAAUUUGAAUCAACACGAGGAAACUCACCUGCACAUGGGGUGUUCUAUGACUGACUUACUUAAGGUGAUGCAGAGAUGGUACUAGUGGUGGUGCAUGGCCGUUGGUGGUGUGUGGGAUGAUUUGCUUGGUUAAUUCUGUCAACAAUCGAGACUCUGGCCCGUUUAGGGGAUUUCCACCAACAAGGUGUGAUGAAAGCAGAGCAAUAACAGGUCCGUGAUGUCCUUUAGAUGCGUGGGGCUGCACGCGUGAUACAAUGCCCCUUCAACAAGCAGCUGAUGUCGAAAGACUAAGCUAUCCCUUUAUGAUGAUGAUGUAGUGGAGAUCGGAGUCUGGAAUGGGCUCCAUGAACGAGGAAUUCCUAGUAAGUACAUUUCAAUACAUUGUGCUGAUUCGUGUCCCUGCGCUUUGUACACACCGCCCGUCGCUCCUACUGAUGGACUCAACGCUGAGUUCCCUGAAGGUUCGCCAAAGGGGUUCAAGGCUGCGAGCCUAGAAGAAGGAGAAGUCGUAACAAGGUAAGA
rnacentral:rRNA from 1 species